rnacentral:rRNA from 1 species
UACGGAGGGGGCUAGCGUUGUUCGGAAUUACUGGGCGUAAAGCGCACGUAGGCGGAUUGCUAAGUCAGGGGUGAAAUCCCGGGGCUCAACCUCGGAACUGCCUUUGAUACUGGCAAUCUCGAGUCCGGAAGAGGUGAGUGGAAUUCCUAGUGUAGAGGUGAAAUUCGUAGAUAUUAGGAAGAACACCAGUGGCGAAGGCGGCUCACUGGUCCGGUACUGACGCUGAGGUGCGAAAGCGUGGGGAGCAAACAGG